rnacentral:rRNA from 1 species
AGGAUAAGCCAUGCAAGUUGAAUGGGAUACCUAAAUUUUCCAUAGCAAACUGCUCAGUAACACAUGAUCAACUUGCCCUAUGGAGAAAAAUAACCUCGGGAAACUGAGGAUAAUAUUUCAUAGUUGAAUAGGCUUGGAAAAGUUUUUCAAUGAAAAGGAAAAGAUAAAUGGAUCUUUUCUGCCAUAGGAUAGGAUCGUGGUCGAUUAUGGUAGUUGGUGAGGUAAUGGCUCACCAAGCCGAUAAUCGAUAGGGGCCGUGAGAGCGGGAGCCCCGAGAUGGGUACUGAGACACCGACCCAGACCUUACGAGGUGCAGCAGGCGCGAGACCUCCGCAAUACACGAAAGUGUGACGGGGUUACCCAAAGUGUUCAUUUUUGAACUGUGGUAGGUGAGUAAUGUCCCCUACUAGAAAGGAGAGGGCAAGGCUGGUGCCAGCCGCCGCGGUAAAACCAGCUCUUCAAGUGGUCGGGAUGAUUAUUGGGCUUAAAGUGUCCGUAGCCGGUUUAGUAAGUUCCUGGUAAAAUCAGGUAGCUUAACUAUCUGUAUGCUAGGAAUACUACUAUACUAGAGGGCGGGAGAGGUCUGAGGUACUACAGGGGUAGGGGUGAAAUCUUAU